rnacentral:rRNA from 1 species
CGGGCACACGGUGGAUGCCCUGGCACCUAAGCCGAUGAAGGACGUGAUUACCUGCGAAAAGCCCGGUGGAGCUGGUAGUAAGCGUUGAUACCGGGAUGUCCGAAUGGGGGAACCCGGCCUGUGGGAACACAGGUCACCGCGGAAGCGGGGGGAACCUGGGGAACUGAAACAUCUUAGUACCCAGAGGAGAAGAAAGAGACAUCGAUUCCCUGAGUAGCGGCGAGCGAAAGGGGAGGAGCCUAAACUGCUGAGCGUGCUCAGCGGGGUUGUGGGGCUGGCGAUAUCGAAGCGGAGGCCUAGUCGAAGGGUCUGGGAAGGCCCACCAUAGAAGGUGAAAGUCCUGUAGACGAAAGGCGGAGGCUAGUAGCCAGUACCCGAGUAGCCUGUGGUUCGUGGAGCUAUGGGUGAAUCUGCGCGGCCCACCGCGUAAGGCUAAAUACUCUAGGUGACCGAUAGCGGACCAGUACCGUGAGGGAAAGGUGAAAAGAACCCCGGGAGGGGAGUGAAAUAGAACCUGAAACCGUGUGCCUACAAGCAAUCACGGGGCUAUCUGCCUUAGGGCGGAGGCUUUGUGGUGUGCCUAUUGAAGCAUGAGCUGGCGACUUACGGUAGCGGGCGAGCUUAAGCCGGUAGGCGGAGGCGUAGCGAAAGCGAGUCCGAAUAGGGCGAUAGUGGGCCGUUCGCGGCCCGGAGUCCGUUGCCGUAGACCCGAAACCCAGAGAGCUAGCCCUGGCCAGGCUGAAGCCGAGGUGACACUUGGUGGAGGGCCGAACCGGUUGGAGAUGCAAAUCCUUCGGAUGAGCUGGGGUUAGGAGUGAAAAGCUAACCGAUCUGGGAGAUAGCUGGUUCUCCUCGAAAUGACUUUAGGGUCAGCCUCGGAUGCUGAUUUGGGCCUGUAAAGCACUGAUAGGGCUAGGGGGCCUACCAGCCUACCAAACCCUUUCAAACUCUGAAGGGUCCAAAGGGGAGUCCGGGAGUGAGGGCGCGAGUGCUAACAUCCGUGUCCAAGCGCGGGAACAACCGAGACCGCCGAUUAAGGUCCCCAAGUGCGGGCUAAGUGGGAAAAGAUGUGGGGUUGCCCAGACAGCCAGGAGGUUGGCUUAGAAGCAGCCAUCCUUUAAAGAGUGCGUAAUAGCUCACUGGUCGAGUGACCCUGCGCUGAAAAUGAUCGGGGCUUAAGCCUGCCACCGAAAUCGCGGACUUUCGCAGCGAUGCGGGAGUGGUAGAGGAGCGUUCCCUAUGCCGAGGAAGCCAUACCGUGAGGAGUGGUGGAGGUAUGGGAAGUGCGAAUGCCAGCAUGAGUAACGAUAAAAGGGGUGAGAAUCCCCUUCGCCGUAAACCCAAGGUUUCCUACGCGAUGGUCGUCAUCGUAGGGUUAGGCGGGGCCUAAGGAUAACCCGAGAGGGGAAGCCGACGGACAACUGGUUAAUAUUCCAGUCCUACUUCGCGGUGCGAUGGGGGGACGCUUUAGGCUAGGCAAACCGGAGCCAUGGACGAGCCCGGACAGAAGCGCGAAGGGGGCUAUAGGCAAAUCCGUAGCCCAUAUACCGGCGCGUGGUGUGGAAGCCGCAAGGUGACAACUUGCCGAAGCCAUGGAGCCAAGAAAAGCCUCUAAGCACAACCGCGGAGUACCCGUACCGCAAACCGACACAGGUGGGUGGGUGUCAAUGCACCAAGGCGCGCGGGAGAACCCUCGCUAAGGAACUUUGCAAUCUAGCCCCGUAACUUCGGGAGAAGGGGUGCCUACAGCGAUGUAGGCCGCAGUGAAUAGGCGCUGGCGACUGUUUACCAAAAACUCAGCUCUGUGCGAACACGUAAGUGGAAGUAUACGGAGCGACGCUUGCCCGGUGCUGGAAGGUCAAGGGGAGGGGUGCAAGCCCCGAACCGAAGCCCCAGUGAACGGCGGCCGUAACUAUAACGGUCCUAAGGUAGCGAAAUUCCUUGUCGGGUAAGUUCCGACCUGCACGAAAAGCGUAACGAUCAGCGCGCUGUCUCAGCGAGGGACCCGGUGAAAUUGAACUGGCUGUGAAGAUGCAGCCUACUCGUGGCAGGACGAAAAGACCCCGUGGAGCUUUACUGCAGUCUGGCCUUGAGAUUCGGCCGUUUCUGCGCAGGAUAGGUGGGAGCCUAUGAAGCCGGGGCUUUGGCUUCGGUGGAGGCGCCGGUGAGAUACCACCCUGAGACGUCUGGAUUUCUAACCCG